rnacentral:rRNA from 1 species
GACGAACGCUGGCGGCGUGCCUAAUACAUGCGAGUAGAACGCUGAAGAUAGGAGCUUGCUCUUCUUGGAUGAGUUGCGAACGGGUGAGUAACGCGUAGGUAACCUGCCUUGUAGCGGGGGAUAACUAUUGGAAACGAUAGCUAAUACCGCAUAACAAUGGAUGACACAUGUCAUUUAUUUGAAAGGGGCAAUUGCUCCACUACAAGAUGGACCUGCGUUGUAUUAGCUAGUAGGUGAGGUAAUGGCUCACCUAGGCGACGAUACAUAGCCGACCUGAGAGGGUGAUCGGCCACACUGGGACUGAGACACGGCCCAGACUCCUACGGGAGGCAGCAGUAGGGAAUCUUCGGCAAUGGGGGCAACCCUGACCGAGCAACGCCGCGUGAGUGAAGAAGGUUUUCGGAUCGUAAAGCUCUGUUGUAAGUCAAGAACGGGUGUGAGAGUGGAAAGUUCACACUGUGACGGUAGCUUACCAGAAAGGGACGGCUAACUACGUG